rnacentral:rRNA from 1 species
CCCUUAGAUGUUCUGGGCCGCACGCGCGCUACACUGAUGCAUUCAACGAGUCUAAAACCUGCUCUGAUAGGGGUGGGUAAUCUUUUGAAUGUGCAUCGUGAUUGGGAUAGAUGAUUGCAAUUCUUCAUCUUCAACGAGGAAUGCCUAGUAAACGCAAGUCAUCAGCUUGCAUUGAUUACGUCCCUGCCCUUUGUACACACCGCCCGUCGCUCCUACCGAUUGAAUGAUCCGAUGAAUACCAUGGAUUGAGAGUACGAAUGGGUUCGCUCAUUUCUGCUGCUCGAGAAGUGGAGUAAAUCUUAUCAUUUAGAGGAAGGAGAAGUCGUAACA